AGCUAAAAGGCCUGCUGACUUCGCAGCCCUGGAAGCCAAUGCGAGGAAGCUCCGGCCCGGGCUAAACCCGCAGGAAUGAGGUAGUAAGAAGGGGGUCAAACGCGGUAACAAAUCAAACAGGCUGAUCAAAGCGCAGGGUGGUCAACUCGCGCUUCUUCCAGUUCAUCUUUCUCGAAUGGAUUUCUACCUGACUUCGUGUUUGAGCUUCUAGUCUCUCGUAACGAUAGACCGCCACCUCCUGUGUGAGGGUCUGGGUUCUUGUGUGUGGUGACAAUCUCAGCACCCAGGCUGGGGACAGGGGAUGGGAGAGGUGGGGACUCGGCUCCUCCACAGGCCUGGAACUCUCCUGAAGGGCCCUCGAAGAAAAGGGGGCGGGAGGAGGGCGCCUGAAGCCGAACCGAGGGCUCGACCGAGAAGGGGGCGUCCUGGCCUGGGAGAGCGGCCCUGGCAGGGGCUGACGUGCAGCUCCUUCAGGAAACAUUAAAUCUGCCCUCAAGACACUUAAUUGUUUUGGCAAUCAUCUGACAUACCUACCUUGAUGAGAUAUAUGCCUAAUAAGAAGAAGCUGAUGCUGAUCUCAAGUAAUAUAUGGAUCCACUAAUUAACCGACAUUAAAAUAUCUGGCCAUGAAUGCAGGUAACUGACAGUGUAUAUUAUUCUAUUUUUUAACAGGUGAGGAAAAGAAUAA
rnacentral:lncRNA from 1 species